CAAUUGUAAACGACUUUGUAACAGGCAAGGUGUUGUAAGUGGUUGAGCAGCUGCCAUACUGCGAUCCACUGAAAGCUUAUCCUUUGCUUGAUGAUUCGA
rnacentral:ncRNA from 1 species